GAUGAACGCUGGCGGCGUGCCUAAUACAUGCAAGUCGAGCGAACGGACGAGAAGCUUGCUUCUCUGAUGUUACCGGCGGACGGGUGAGUAACACGUGGAUAACCUACCUAUAAGACUGAGAUAACUUCGGGAAACCGGAGCUCCUACCGGAUAAUCUUUUGAACCGCAUGGUUCAAAAGUGAAAGACGGUCUUGCUGUCACUUAUCGAUGGAUCCGCGCUGCAUUAGCUAGUUGGUAAGGUAACGGCUUACCGAGGCGACGAUGCAUAGCCGACCUGAGAGGGUGAUCGGCCACACUGGAACUGAGACGCGAUCCAGACUCCUACGGGAGGCAGCAGUAGGGAAUCUUCCGCAAUGGGCGAAAGCCUGACGGAGCAACGCCGCGUGAGUGAUGAAGGUCUUCGGAUCGUAAAACUCUGUUAUUAGGGAAGAACAUAUGUGUAAGUAACUGUGCACAGCUUGACGGUACCUAAUCAGAAAGCCACGGCUAACUACGUG
rnacentral:rRNA from 1 species